rnacentral:rRNA from 1 species
UAGCGUAGGGUCCAAGCGUUGUCCGGAAUUAUUGGGCGUAAAGAGCUCGUAGGCGGUGUGUCGCGUCGGAUGUGAAAGCCCGGGGCUUAACUUCGAAACUGCAUUCGAUACUGCCGUGCUUGAGGACUGGAGAGGAGACUGGAAUUUACGGUGUAGCGGUGAAAUGCGCAGAUAUCGGGAAGAACACCCGUGGCGAAGGCGGCUCUCUGGGACGGUACUGACGCUGAGACGCGAAAGCGUGGGGGAGUGAACAGG